rfam:Helianthus annuus linkage group 10, whole genome shotgun sequence.
GAAAGCCCUUUGAUGGGAAACUACCAUGUUAGGUUUGGAGAGAGAUAGGACCGGUUAUAUAAUAGGGGGAGCAGAUGCAAGCUUUUUCUUUCAAUAGCCAGCCAAAUGACUAUAGGAUCAUCGGUCUACUCUAC